rnacentral:rRNA from 1 species
AUUGAACGCUAGCGGCAUGCCUUACACAUGCAAGUCGAACGGCAGCACGGGGGCAACCCUGGUGGCGAGUGGCGAACGGGUGAGUAAUGCAUCGGAACGUACCCAUCGAUGGGGGAUAACUGCGCGAAAGCGUUGCUAAUACCGCAUACGACCUACGGGUGAAAGCAGGGGACCGCAAGGCCUUGCGUCGAUGGAGCGGCCGAUGCCGGAUUAGCUAGUUGGUGAGGUAAAGGCUCACCAAGGCGACGAUCCCGUAGCUGGUCUGAGAGGACGACCAGCCACACUGGGACUGAGACACGGCCCAGACUCCUACGGGAGGCAGCAGUGGGGAAUCUUGGACAAUGGGCGAAAGCCUGAUCCAGCAAUGCCGCGUGUGGGAAGAAGGCCUUCGGGUUGUAAACCACUUUUGGCGGGAAAGAAAUGGUCUGUGCUAAUACCACGGAUUGAUGACGGUACCCGCAGAAUAAGCACCGGCUAACUACGUG